rnacentral:lncRNA from 10 species
GCAUGGGGUGGGUAAUAGGGCAUGUGAUUUGAAUGAGUAUUCCCAGCCAUUUAAUAUAUUCACAAGUCAAACUAUAAAGUAUUUCUUUAAAAAAAUUAUAGUAUUUCACUGAAGUUUGAAUGUACUUUCUCUUGCCAAAAUAAUCAGAGUCUUUCAUUUUUCUAAUGAUAAAAAUGUGCUACAUGUGUAGGAAAAUUUCCCAAAUGAAAAAUAACAUUUUCUAUGGCAGCACAUACAGUGCUUGAAUUUUUCACCUUAGAUUUUAUUCUAGCCAGACCUAAACUCUGUCUUACUUGCAUAAUGAUAAUUCAUGUCGUCAAACCAAACGCACUGUUUGCUGCUCGUUUGUCCAGGAGCCAUCUUUUCCUAAAGUGAGCAAUAUUACGUGCAUUUUGUCUGGCUGGCCGAGGGCUCCUCCCUACAGCUUCUGCAGCCAUGGAAGAGUCUGGAAGGACAGUGUUCGCUUGUACAAGAAGAGGGAAGGAUAGGAUGAGAAAAGCAAAAUCUUGGAGAGUCUGUGGUCGGAAGAAGAAAGCUGAAGCUGGUUAGGAGGAAGGAGUGUGUGAGUGAAUUAGGAGCUGAAGCAGUAAAGUAGCUUUCCCUGUGACCCUGAUGUGUCGGGCAUUUCUGUCUUAGACUAAAAGCAUAAUAAAAAAGGCACUUUGUUUAGGUUAACAGAGCAUUAUAUAACUGGAAAGUUUUACAGUUUUAUAUAUAUAGUGAAUAGUUUGUAGAGGAUAAAAAGACUUCCCUUUGGUUUAUUAUUUGGGUAAAAUAAAAACCCACGAAUCAUUUAAGGAUGCAUUUCUUUUUCUUUUUUCUGCCUUUUUUUUUUUAAGACAAAAGCUUGAAGGCAUAAAAUGGAGUUAUUUUCAUCGGGAUAUCACCCUCGAUGCUGCUGCUUUACUACAUGUUCAUAGUCAAAAUUAUUUCAUGUUUCCCUUGAAUAACUACGAUCAGUUUGAAAACAGCUUUGUUAAUUAGUAAGAGAUGACGCAAUAUAUCACUGCAUCUUUAGGGCUCUGGCGCCAGCUAGUGGUAGGAGAGGGGAGCCGCCCUGUCGCUCUCAAAUCUGGGAAGGCGUCGGUCUUCUCGCGUCCCCUUAUCCCUCAUCCUCCUCAUUUUUUUUUUCCAUCAGCAUAAUGGGGGAAUCAUUGCAGUGUGGCCAGAGAGGAGCAGACGAGAUUAUAGAUGAAAGUAGAGAAAAACGGUGGGCAGGGGCAGGGAGAGGAAAGGCCAGACAAAUGCAAUCAUUUCUCCAAAGGAUUUGAGAAGAGAUCAUUUAUUUGAAAUAUUCCUGCCAUGUUGAUGGAGCAGCUCAAUCUUUUGCCAGUGAAUCUUUAGCGUUUUGUUUUUCAUUUGUAGAUAUGGUUGAACAUAUACUUAGGACACGUAAUAACUAUGGAACUUCAUCACAAACACAGCACUGAGGACAUGUUAAGGAGACAUGCAUACAAGGAGAAUGCCAGGUGAACGUGAAGACCAUCAUUUGCAAGCCAAGAGAGGCCUGGAGCAGAUCCUUCAGAGCCCUCAGAAGGGACCAACCCUGCUGGCACCUUGAUUUUGGACUUCCAGCCUCCAGAACUAAGAACUUGAUGUAUACCUCCUGACCUGUUCAUCUUGUAGCUGCCUCUUGACAGGUUGCUGACUUCGCCUGGAGGGACUCUAUCAGAUGGAAUCUCCCUCUGUCAUCCCGGCUGGAGUGCAAUGGUGCGUUCUUGGCUCACUGCAACCUCUAUCUCGCAGGCUCAAGUAAUCCUCCCACUUCAGCCUAUUGAGUAACUGGGACCACAGGUGCACACCAUCAUGCCAGGAGAAACAAAUGCCAAACAGUGAAGGUCAAGAAGGCCAUAGUGAUAUAUGCAAGUUCAAAAAGUGGAAGAAGCUUUUACACAGAGAAAUAUCAAUCAGCCAGCUUUUCAUGGCUGAUGCCUGAAAAUAUCAUCCACCUGUGUCUCUGAGCAUACUUUGGCUUUGACUCCUAGUGAUAUUACAUGUAAUGUCAUGGCUAGAUAUUUCAAUUUCAGAAACAAAUGAUUCCACUGAAUAGUAAGACAUUUGCCAACUGGACAAUAAUUCAUAAGGAGAGGGUUCAGAAACUGUAAGUUUUAUUAUGAAAAGGUAAGGAAAUCCAACCCUAGAUGGAGGUAACUUGGAAAGAAUGAUUGGUUAUUUUGUAUAACUCUAAAGGGCAUAACUAGGACUAACAAGUCAAAGCUUUCAGGAAGAAAAUUUCUAUAUAAUGUGCAGAAAUUUCAAACAGUUGAUCAGUUGCUUUUGUUAUUAUUGUUAGAGACAGGAUCUCACUAUGUUGCCCAGGCUUGAUUCUAACCUCCCCCACUGCCAACCCCCCGGCUCAAGCAAUCCUACUGCCUUAGCCUCUUGAGUAGCUGGGACUACGGGCACACACACACACACCACUGCACCAGGUAAAUUUCUAACAACUCAAAGUGUUAUAAAGGAAUAGGUCGCCUAGUAGCAUGGUCAGCGGUGUCUGUAAGACUUCUCGUCAGUCAGGCUGCGGUAUGGGAUUGAAGUGGAAGAUCACUAAGAAAUGGAGGGAAUGAAUUUCAGAAUGGGUGGGGGGUUUCAGGGUGUUGGGUCAAUAGCUGUCUUAUCAAUGGAGCUGAGAAUGAAAACCUAGGAAAAGUGACACUGGCUCUAGAAGGGAACUGGGCCAUCUGCCUUAUAGACCAUCUGCUAAUUUGUUGCUCAUUUAUUGGUGAAACUUGGGAAGGUAAUGGAUAUGUAUGAGCUCUCUCAGAACUUGCCUUGUUGCCUAAUGGAUAUCUUUGACUUUUCCAACUCCAAGUAUCUGUAAAAGUUCCUAAUUUCCUCAUAGACUUGUAAAACCACUCAAACCCACCAGGCCCUUAUUCUGUUUCCAAGAUCACCUUUCAGGUGUCACCGUGUUGACAAGUUAUUUGGAGCUCUAUUGACCUUGUCUCAUUAUUGGAACUUUUCUAAUAUCUUGAAUGCAGAUGGAAGGAAAGGAGACAAUAACAACAAAAAAUAAAACUGCAACAGCAUGAUUUAUUAUAGUAUAUAUUUCUCAGAAGAGACAAAAACAGCAUCAAUGAAGAGCAAUCAUAGAAGGUUCACAGUUGCCUCAGAACCAAUUCAACAAUUCAUAGGGGGUUGGCAUCACAUAAACAGCUGGGAAAAAGCAGUUAAAUGAUUUUCUACAUGCUCUUAGGGAGAGACUGUGUCUAAUCUGAUGCAGUUGCUCCAAAGGAGCGCAGCUAAUGACAUCUACACCAAAUAUCAGUUCAAUAAAUUGCUUCCUUUCAUUAAUCUGAGUGUCGGUGUCUGCAUUAACGGUGUUAACACAGCAGAAGGUCUAAAGGAGAGAUAAUAAGGACCUGUUUUUAGUGACAUGUGGGGGCGGCCCUGUGAAAACAAGCAAAUAUAUAACUGGUCCCUUGACUCUGGUGAAUCAAAACCAUUUCAUUUAUUCAUUCUGUCACUCCAAAAUUAUUCUUUGAGUGACUACUAUGUGCCUGGUCCUGGGCUAUGUCCUCAUGUACCAAUGGACAAAGGGCCUUCAGGGAGCUUAUAGUAGGUGGGGAGGAGGCAGAAGUCAUCACCUGCAUACAUAAUUGACUGUGAUGAGGGAUAAGAAGGGAAAGUAUGCAUUACUUUGAAAAAAUGCAACAGGGGAAUACCUUUAGAUGGAGACUGACCAUCUUUCUAGAAAAAUCAGGGCUUUAGGCUAGAAGAGCUUGUAGUGUAUGGGCGAUUAUGACUCCUCUGGGAGUCUAGGCGUACAUGAACAGUGUGCGUUUACUAUCAAAUCUGUAUGUGACUAUGUUUUGCAGUGGGCAGGCCUAAACAAACUUACCCCCCUCCCUCCCCAAGGCCAAGGAAGCUGAGAGGCCAAAGAUAAAAGCUAACAUAUCCAGUCUCUUAGAAAUAAGCAUUCAAUAGGGACUUGGCAAACAGAAGCCAUGUCUCUAUCUCAGGUGGCAGUGAGACAAGAUGGUGGAUCCCUACACCAUUACCCCUCAGACGCAGGGCUUAUAUGGUAUAGGGAAAGGGUGAUUCAGAAAGGAUGCAUAGGACAAUUGAAGUGCGAUAACAUCAAGACUGUUUGGCUUAAGGGCAGGAUUUACAGUAAGUAUCUGUUCUUACACAAGGAGCAAUAGAUAAACUGGAAAUUGUAGAGGCCUUCCCAGAGCUGGAUUUAAUCAGAAGCCAACAUGGAAGAUGAGCAUCCAAGAUGGAGUUGCUUUGGUCUCCACAAACUGUAUUGGGAAAAUACAACUUUCCUUACCCUGAUUAUUAUACAUUAUGGUUAGGUGCUUAUAAAUGAAGAUAAUGACCAUUUCUGUAAUCGGCAAUGUACUGUAAAUGAGAUGGAAGCACAGUGUAUCUCUGGGCAAGGUGUGUAAUAGUAAGGCCUUCCCUUUCCUUCCACCCUCAAGGCUUGGGUGGAUUAAGAAUCUCUGGUCACUAUGGCACCUUAUGACCAUUGAUGAGCAUCACUUCAAGAAAGAACUAGGACUGUCUCUGGACAGAGCAUUUUUUCUUUGAACUCUGGUGUCUGUGAGCUGGCUCACCUGAUUCGGGCGCUCUGUGGCUUCCAAGAUUCAUCUUGAGAAUCACAUCAAAAGUCCUGAAACUGACUGACCAUCAGGGGAUGCAGAAGAGAGAAGGGUGCCCUGGCUAAGCACUGGCUGCAAUGCUGGUCCAAGGGGGAGAAACUACAUGGCCAAGAAAAUGCAGCUCACUCGUGGGAAUGUCAUAGCACCUGGAGGAACUCAUAAAAUAGCAUAGGAAUAUGCCUAUACCAUUUCUGCUUCUAUUUCAUUGAGGGAGUGAAUAUGAUAAGAUGUCAUCAGGUGACUGAAUGUAUCGUUAGCAUUCUCCUCCUUAUUGAUUACAUUUAUUGAAAUCUUGUAUGUCAGGCACUGUUUUAAGCUCUGUCAUCCAUCUGUCUGUCUAAAACCUCAUUAAAUUGUCACAACUGAUUGCCAAAUGUAACUCUUCAAAACAGGAAUAUUCUAAUUUAUUUUUCUUAUAACUGGGAAGAUAUUUUUAAGUUUCCAAAAAGAAAGAGUUAAUGUUUUUAAUAAAAGGUGUUCCCAUUCCCUG